UACGUAGGGGGCAAGCGUUAUCCGGAUUUACUGGGUGUAAAGGGAGCGUAGACGGCGAUGCAAGUCUGAAGUGAAAGGCGGGGGCCCAACCCCUGGACUGCUUUGGGAACUGUGCAGCUGGAGUGCAGGAGAGGUAAGCGGAAUUCCUAGUGUAGCGGUGAAAUGCGUAGAUAUUAGGAGGAACAUCGGUGGCGAAGGCGGCUUACUGGGCUUUUACUGACGCUGAGGCUCGAAAGCGUGGGGAGCAAACAGG
rnacentral:rRNA from 1 species